rnacentral:rRNA from 1 species
GACGAACGCUGGCGGCGUGCUUAACACAUGCAAGUCGAACGGAAAGGCCCUGCUUUUGUGGGGUGCUCGAGUGGCGAACGGGUGAGUAACACGUGAGUAACCUGCCCUUGACUUUGGGAUAACUUCAGGAAACUGGGGCUAAUACCGGAUAGGAGCUCCUGCUGCAUGGUGGGGGUUGGAAAGUUUCGGCGGUUGGGGAUGGACUCGCGGCUUAUCAGCUUGUUGGUGGGGUAGUGGCUUACCAAGGCUUUGACGGGUAGCCGGCCUGAGAGGGUGACCGGGCACAUUGGGCCUGAGAUACGGCCCAGACUCCUACGGGAGGCAGCAGUGGGGAAUAUUGCACAAUGGGCGGAAGCCUGAUGCAGCAACGCCGCGUGCGGGAUGACGGCCUUCGGGGUGUAAACCGCUUUCGCCUGUGACGAAGCGUGAGUGACGGUAAUGGGUAAAGAAGCACCGGCUAACUACGUG